UUGUCUUUUAUCCUUUGUCUCUAUUUUGAUAUUCCCCUUCCCUUCCCUAGUUCCAAUACACGUAUAUAUAAUAUCUUUUCUUUGAGCGUGCACCUGGCUCAGCUGACUGUCAGCUGUGUCAUGUUCCUGAUACUGCCCUCUCGUCAUUGUUGGAAGAUGGCUUCUGGAUUUGUGACCUGCCUUUGCGCUUUUCCCAGGAGUGAUAAAUUUGCAAGGACCCACCUCUGCUGACCCAGGGUAUAUACAAGCACCUGGUUGUAUAUAAAACUUCCAUCUAGGUACACCUCUAGCAACCCCACAAGUUAUCUCUCAACAUAGAAAGCCACAAUGAGUCCUCGCAGGAACAGCCACAGAGUAACAUCCCUAUCUCUCACAGCCGCAGAAUAACACCCUUACCUCCCACUUUUGUCCCAUUCAACAGGGGUUUCCUUGGCAUGCACUGUGAACAGCUACCUGGAGAAGACUUAGAGAACCUAAGCUAAGACAAGUGAAAAAUGGCCCUGCCCUCCCCACAGGGGAGUGGAUAAAGCAACUCCAGAGAACCUACAUGCAGAAGUAUUUGACCUUUGUAAUGUUUUAUAAACGUUUGAAUAGUUUCCAUGAGGCAGGGCCUUGAGUUCUCCACUGGUCUCCCAUGCCCUACCCGCUUCUUGUAAGUACUGGAGCUGUAACCUAUGAAAUCUGCCUCAGUCACAGUCUAAACACCUUCCCAGGGCGCCGCAGAGCAGAGGGCUGGCUCUCCUGGAGGCUGGGGUGCAGACACAGAAGUAAACAGGCACGGAGCAUCUAAAGUCAGGGGCCACCCUGGGGGCUCCAGAGCUCAGCAGGCCAGGCAACCAUUCCUCCAAGCUCCCUGCAACUACUUUAAUAAUGCUGGCAUUGAGCCACCUCAUCCUAAGAUUGCACCAAUCUGGCCAGUGUCAGAUUUGUGAACUCCUGUGUCGAGGCUCCUGGUUGGAGGGACCCUAACCAGGGCAUGGGGCUAUUGUAAAAAAGAAAAAGAAUAAUGACCAUCUGCCAUGUACUGGGUAACUACUUUUAUUUUGUUACUUUAUUUUGGUCUUGGAAACUUACGCAAACAAACUUUUAUGCAAACAGAACGUGAAGCCUUUGUCAUUGGUCUGUCAUUUUCUCCAGGCCAGCUUCGCCUGGCCAGGGUGUUCCCCGGCCAUGGGCCUCCUCCUCCUCCUCAUGUAGGUCUGAGUCAGCCAUGAGAUGCAGACAGGACCCCUGCAUUCCCAGUCCUCCAGCUGGUUGAGGGCUGGUUGAGGCAUGCAUCAUUCAUCCAGGGUUACUUGUGCAUCUCUGCAAUGUCUGGUGCAAACUUCCAAGGACAAACACAUCUUUCCUCCACCUGCAAAGGUGAGCUGCCCGAAACUCCUCUUGAAAAGGAAGCACUGACAGGUGUUCAGGCCAGACUCACAUGCCAGAAUUUCAGGAUCAGGCCCACCCUCUAUAUGCCAAACAGAGACAUGGUGAUGGAAGAGAAAGGUUUAUUAUGCAGCAGCCAUGGAAAGAGCAUUUUGGUACUUUUCCAGCCAUAAGUGCUUUUUUGUGGUGUGGCAGCCUUUCUGUAGGCUUGUGGCCUAUGGCAGACCUUGGUGAUUGAUGAAUAUUACGGAAAGUAUGCAGAAAGACCCUUUGUUCAAAAUCUCAUCUUCAAUUGAUUUUUCAGUUGUUGUUAACGUUGAUGCAGGUACCCCCAUUUUGACUUUGACAACUUUCAUGUUUCUCUCACAAUCCCAUUUGAUGGGUUAAAAAAAAAACAGCCACUCUUUUCCAUUUCUAGCAUAUCAUUUGAAAUUAUGUCUAAAUACCUUCUAAUCGUCUAUACUCAUGUGUAUUCUGGAUGUUAAACCCUUGUCAACCUGGCCUUUCUAAACUAUAGAAAAUGAAUGCUGGGAGGUGUCUUAUGGAAAGUGAAGAAGGUUCUCCUUUUACAGUGUGACUUUACCAUUCUGAAACACAAGAGACAAAAUUUAUAUCUUGACCCUAGAACCUGGCUUUCACUCAUGUAACAUUAGCUAAAAUGACUUCAGUAAAGCAGAGGUUGACAAAUGUUGGUAUGCCAUGACCCCCCUCUAUUGUGUCUAGAGCCCUGAGAGCUGGAGGUAGGCUGCUGUGAGCUUGUGUAUAGGAGAGGCUACACCUGAAGAUGCCCAUUCAACAGCACAGGAGAGAACAUCUCUGGCCAGCAUCCUAGUGAGCUGUGUCUGUCUGGAGUUGUGGAGUCCAAAGGAGCCAGUGGCUAGGCCCAACUCAGAUUGUGACCCACAGGAUUAUGAGAAAUGAAGUCAUUGUUUAUGCACUUGCUUUCAGUGUAGUGUAUUUGUAGCAAUGGAUAACUGAUAGCAUGGUGAACUAACACAUUCCAGUAGACUACUAUUCAUGUGAACAUCUUAAUGUUCUCACAGACCCCACGGUCUGUUGUGAUUUCAUUAGCUGUAGAGUUUUGUUCUCUCUUGCUUUUAAAUAGCUGGCUUCCUAGAUUGAAUGGAGCAUAUAGAGUUUUGGAAAUAUGAGGCUAAAGUAGUAAAGAGGUCCCCAUAAUGUGGGACUUCUCAGUGACUUCAGAGAGUUAAUGUUGGAUGUAAAUCUCUGAAACAGAUGGGACAAGUAGAUAAUGAGUCAUAUGUCUCUCACACACAUUACGUAUUCAUUCACAAACUGUAUAAAAGCAGCAACAAGUAAUGAAGUAAAUUUAAAUUCUGUAAGCCACGUGUCUCCCUGUUCUCUGACUCCCCAGAAUGCCCAGCUCAGGGCCUUGGGACCUGACUUCUGUUCAGCCAUACUGGUUUCCUAACUUGCUUAAAAUAUUGAAGAAUGUAUUCUCAAAAUAGUGCA